rnacentral:rRNA from 1 species
UACGGAGGGUGCAAACGUUGCUCGGAAUCAUUGGGCGUAAAGCGCACGUAGGCGGCUUGUUAAGUCGGAUGUGAAAGCCCUCGGCUCAACCGAGGAAGUGCAUUCGAAACUGGCAGGCUUGAAUAUGGAAGAGGGUCGCGGAAUUCCCGGUGUAGAGGUGAAAUUCGUAGAUAUCGGGAGGAACACCAGUGGCGAAGGCGGCGACCUGGGCCAAUAUUGACGCUGAGGUGCGAAAGCGUGGGGAGCAAACAGG